rnacentral:rRNA from 1 species
GACGAACGCUGGCGGCGUGCUUAACACAUGCAAGUCGAACGGAAAGGCCCUGCUUUUGUGGGGUGCUCGAGUGGCGAACGGGUGAGUAACACGUGAGUAACCUGCCCUUGACUUUGGGAUAACUUCAGGAAACUGGGGCUAAUACCGGAUAGGAGCUCCUGCUGCAUGUUGGGGGUUGGUAAGUUUCGGCGGUUGGGGAUGGACUCGCGGCUUAUCAGCUUGUUGGUGGGGUAGUGGCUUACCAAGGCUUUGACGGGUAGCCGGCCUGAGAGGUUGACCGGCCACAUUGGGACUGAGAGACGGCCCAGACUCCUACGGGAGGCAGCAGUGGGGAAUAUUGCACAAUGGGCGGAAGCCUGAUGCAGCAACGCCGCGUGCGGGACGACGGCCUUCGGGUUGUAAACCGCUUUCGCCUGUGACGAAGCGUGAGUGACGGUAAUGGGUAAAGAAGCACCGGCUAACUACGUG